rnacentral:rRNA from 1 species
AUUGAACGCUGGCGGCAUGCCUUACACAUGCAAGUCGAACGGCAGCACGGGAGCAAUCCUGGUGGCGAGUGGCGAACGGGUGAGUAAAGUAUCGGAACGUGCCCAGUCGUGGGGGAUAACGUAGCGAAAGUUACGCUAAUACCGCAUACGAUCUAUGGAUGAAAGCGGGGGAUCGCAAGACCUCGCGCGAUUGGAGCGGCCGAUAUCAGAUUAGGUAGUUGGUGGGGUAAAGGCUCACCAAGCCGACGAUCUGUAGCUGGUCUGAGAGGACGACCAGCCAACCUGGGACUGAGACACGGCCCAGACUCCUACGGGAGGCAGCAGUGGGGAAUUUUGGACAAUGGGCGCAAGCCUGAUCCAGCCAUGCCGCGUGCAGGAUGAAGGCCUUCGGGUUGUAAACUGCUUUUGUACGGAACGAAAAGGUUUGGCCUAAUAAGCUGAGCUCAUGACGGUACCGUAAGAAUAAGCACCGGCUAACUACGUGCCAGCCGCCGCCGUAA